rnacentral:rRNA from 1 species
CUGGGGUGAAGUCGUAACAAGGUAACCGUAGGGGAACCUGCGGUUGGAUCACCUCCUUACCU